ensembl:rRNA 5S_rRNA 5S ribosomal RNA
GCCGGCAGCUAGCUCUCUGCCACUCUCACAUGUUGGCCCACUGAAGCUAAGCAGGGCUGCGCCCGGUCAAUACCUGGAUGGGAGACCACACUGGAAAGCUAGGUUGAUGCCGGAG